rnacentral:rRNA from 1 species
UACGAGGGGAGCAAGCGUUGUUCGGAUUUACUGGGCGUAAAGGGCGCGUAGGCGGCGUGACUAGUCACUUGUGAAAUCUCCGGGCUUAACUCGGAACGGUCAAGUGAUACUGUCGUGCUAGAGUACAGAAGGGGCAACUGGAAUUCUCGGUGUAGCGGUGAAAUGCGUAGAUAUCAGGAGGAACACCGGUGGCGAAGGCGGGUCUCUGGGCCGAUACUGACGCUGAGGAGCGAAAGCGUGGGGAGCGAACAGG